AGAUUAUAUCAAUUGUUGAAAAAAAUAUGCAGAAAGUUGAAAGGUAGCAAAUGAGACGACUAAAGCAUCGGUUUUGGCAUUGAAUUAUGAGAUUGGCGAUUGGCUCAAAAAAGGGUCCACUGCAAGUUUAUGGGUAAUGGUGGUGGUGAUAUGGAUCCAAAAGAUAUAGAGUAUGUCAAGAAGUGUUGAUUUGUAGUUGCAUAUGGUAUCUUCGAUGGAUACGAUACACCAUAUCAGCUUAAUAAUAUUAGUGCUCGGUCACAAAAGUUCUUUUGUUUUCUUAUGGUGGUUGAUGAGAAUCUUUUUUCAUCAAGAAAAACGUUUCUGUAAGAGUGGAAACUGAUGGGGGUCAUUGAGUGGGAGUUUGACAUCUUAUUCUUCUGAAGCAUCAACCAUAUGAUGAACCCGGAAGAAAUAGAAAGGUUCCAAAGAUAUUAGUAAACAUGAUGUUUCUAGAAGCAUUGUACAACAUCUGGAUUGAUGGUAAAGUGGAGCUAAUACUUGAUCCGUUACUUAUGGUAGAGAGGUCAGUUGGUUUACCUGUGACCCCAAGCUUCAUAUUGAAAGGGAGCAGUUGAUUAAAAGGGAACAGUGAUGUUAUCUGACAUGUACGACAAAAAUCACACACCCGCUGAUUAAUGAAAACUUGCAUGGAGCUCCAACAUAUGGCGGGUGAGUUGAAGCUAGAGAACCUAGACACUGCCCUUCUAUUGAAGAUAAGGAGUGCGCGAGUUUGCAAGAGUAAUGUAUAUGGCAAGGUGGAUUGGCGGACAUCGUAGUCUGAAAUAUGUCUAUAUUUCUACCUUUCUUAGGGGGAGGGGGCUUUGCUAAUUUUCAUAUUAUAUUCAGGUAUCUGGCUUGUUCUACCAAAAUGCAAUGAAGUACUCAACUACUCCAUCCAACGAUCCUGACACACAUAAGGAUUUCAGGCCAAACCAGUAAGGCUAAGAGUGAUCUUUCUGUCAAAGAUAUUGUUGAGCAGACGUGAAGGACAAUUCAGUUAUGAUGUAUAUAAAGGGGAUUCCCGAAAUGCCUAGAUGCGGUUUCAGCUCUUUUGCAGUGAGGGUACUGAAGGAUUAUAGUAAGUUUUUCAGUUUUGGUUGAUUAUUUGACUUUAUCUGUUAGCAAUUUGAGGCUCUUUCAAAUGUUGGUAGAAACUUUUAUAAGUUUAAGUUAUCAACACAGCUGAGAGCUAUUUAUAUGUGUGGGAUAGACAUGGAGUAAAAUACCCCCUUCCUCGUAUAUGGAUUAGAGAGGAUGGAUUGGUGAUGAAGCUACCCUGACCAAGCUAAGUAUUGACUGAGUUUUUGGUAUUCUGUAAAAAUUCUUGGCUUAAAUUGUCCCCUGUCAUCAGGUAUAAGCUGAGAUUUCGAUUGUUCUAUUUGCCAAAAUUUAUGUGGGAUCCUGUCGUGGUGUGAUGUAUUUGUAAAUUUCUGUUAUUAUAUCUCUUUAUGAUUCUUAAUUUCUCAAUCUUUUCUUACAUGUAUGAUCAUUAUAUAUCUUUUUAUGUUGGCCUCUUCAUGUGUCAGUAGUAACAUUUGUGAGAUUGAAGAAAUAUCAAAGGGAGAUUAGUGCACGGGUUAUGCAUAAUUAUAUUUUUUUGCCUAAAUUUUUCUCAAGUAGUAAAAAGUUUGUGCUAAUUCCAUGUCUUUUUUAUACAGGCAUCGAUAGUGAAAUUUCCUUGAUAUCCUAAUCCUAUUGCAUCCUCCAUAUCAAGCAGAAUCAGGGUGGAAGUUAAAAGUUGAAGUUAUUUUGUUGUUAAAAUCUCUCCUCUCUGUAAUGUUUCGAUUUGUUUAGGUUAAAAUGAGUUUGUCUAAAGAGGUUGUGUUUUUCAAGAUUUGUUGAAUUAUUGUAUGUAUAUAAUUUAUUGAUUAUGUUUAGUGUUAAGAGUGAUACUUGUAUGGUUGUACAUGUUUCACUUGAAACUACGAUGAAAAUUUUAGUUUGGUUUAUAGGAAAUACAACGUAUAAAAUGGUUGUUAAACUUAUAAUUUUCAAUGAAAAGUAGUGUUUUUUUCUUGUGACAACAAAUAUAGCAACUUUCAAAGUGUAAUUGCUAAAU